AGGUUAUUUCUCUUCCAAUGGCUUUUCAAUAUUUUUGAUUGCCUUAUCAGAGUCAUCAGUAAGGAACUCCUGAGGAGCAACCAUAUCACCUGGAUCUUGGGUCCUCAGCUGGUGAACAAGAGGAGAAUGGAGGCUUCAUUAAUUCUAAAGAGUACCUGAGACUGUCAGCUCAUCAGAAGCCAAGACAGACUCAAAACCCCAGGAUCAUACAGUGGAGAACAGCAUCCGGAUGGCUGUGGUUGGCUUGGUUCUCAUUCUUUUUGGGAUUCUGCAUUUAAAGGCCUGGCACAAUCAGAGACGGAUCUGAUACUCAUCUGGGAGACAAGCAGAAGAGAGCAGCAUAUCCCUUCCUGGUGACAGAUUCUGGGAAAUAUGUCUGAGGAUUCAAAGUGUUUGUUUAAGAAACUCUGGAGCUUAUGUUGUCAGUGUUGUUCAAGGAGUAAGUGUGUUUGGGUUCAGGGAGAGGACAUGGAGUACAGAACAUUGCCACACUAGAUUAAGACUAUUUCUCUUUACCUUGCUGUGGGCUUUUGUUGACUGAUGCCUCUUCUCUUCUUACUACAUGACAGUAGGGAAAAUCCUGUCCUAAAGAUCCUUAACUUCAUGUUUCUCCUACUUUCUCCUAUCUUAAUGUAAGAUUUUCAUUCAUUAUAAAUCACCAAAUUCCUCACUGUACUUGGAGAGCUUGUGCGUUUUAUGGAGAACAAGGUAUUUGGCUCAAUAACAAUAACUACAAGCAUAUAUCAGAUUUCAAAACAAAUUAACUGAAUAACAAUCAGGUCUUGAAACUCUCUUUGGGAUCCUGGGAUCCUUCACUCACCACCACAUGCUUAUUGUGUGGCCUUUCAAAACUGUAAAGACUUGCCAGCCACCAACACACUGGUGUUUGAAGGAGUUCUGUGGUGGGGCACUGUUGAUAUGCUUUGUAAUAUCAUUUUUCUCAGAGUCCUGAUGUGUGAUUGCUGUGUAUACUAUAAUCUUUUCAUGGCCAACUGUAUAGCAGCCAUGCAAAACCAUGUAUGUAUGAGAGGUUUUGAAAUAAUACAUAAUGUUGAUGUACUUUCAGUUAAACUAUCAAUUGUUGCCAUAUGCAAAAGCAAUUGACAUUGUAAUAAAUCAACCUUGAGUUAUUUUGAUAUAAUCACUUCUUUGGGGAUGGGAUAGGUGGCUCAGUGGUUUUGAGCACUGGCAGCUCCUCAAGAGGCUUCUGAUUCAAUUUCCAGCAUCCACAUGGAGGAUCAUAACUCCAGUUCCAGGUAUUCUGACAUCUGGUCUCUGUGAGUAUGAAUAUCCAUGUAGGCAAAAUGCACACACACACACACACACACACACACACACACACACACACAUACACACACACAUAUACAAUAGGAAAAAAGCACUGCUUAAUUCAAUGAGGUUAAUUUACAAAAUUAUUUAGAAUUUCUACGUGGAAAAUCAUACAAUAAGGAAAACAAUGACAGUUGUAGAUCUUUGUUCUGAAUAGGUGAACCUCCCCUUACUGGUCUUACUUCAUUAGUUGGAGCUUCAAGUACAAAAUUGAAAUUGCAUGAAGAGAGUGGACAUUGCUGUCUUCUUUCCAACUUAAUGUGAAAUUUCUUAUAUCUCGCCACCAAAUAUAUUUCUGUUAGCAUCUUUAGUAUGAUCUUAUUUAGUGGAGAGAGUUCUCUAUCCUUAGUUUAUGGUGAGUGUUUACAAUGAACAGUUUUCAGGAGUUGGAAAACACUAUUUCUUUAUCUGCCUUCAUUCCAUUAUUAUGUUUAUUUCCACUUUUACUGGGUUGCUUGAUGGGUGAUAAUAACUGUUUUGGGGGGGUUGUUGAACCAGCAUUAAAUAAUAGGGUAAAUCUUGUUUAUUCAUGAUGUGUUAAUCUUGUUACACAGCAUAAUACUAAGUUUGCAUGACCAACAAUAGAAAACAUUCUGAUAAUGGUAUAUUAGGGAAUAUUUUUAUUAUAAUAACAUCAUAAAGAAAUCACAUGGAUACACUUGUAUGGAUGCUGUGAUCCCUUGAGAUCAACACCGUAUGUGUGAUCUUCUACUUACUGGAAUUUUGUUAUGUGGUAUAUGAAUGAUAUUUGUUGAAGACUUAGUAUUUAUGCUUAUAGGAGAUAUUCAUGUAUACUUUGUUUUCUUAUAAUGCACUUUUUUGGAGUUGGUGUUAGAUUAUGAUGUUGGCCUCACAUGGGUUAGGUUACAUGUAUUACUUUUAGGACAUGAGUGAGAGUUACCCUGUUGGGCUUCUUUCUAGCAUUUGACCAGAUCAUUCCAAAAAAAUGGAACAGGAAUGUUUUCCUCCACUAGAAGAUGUUCUUGAUUCUUUCAUGACUUCAUGAGAGCCUGGAAGCCUCAGACAUAUAUUCUAUGGAAGGAGGCAUCUCAUGUUUCACAGCCAUGAAUUCUAAUAGACUGCAUAUCACCAAGCUUUAAACAAGCAUGGCUGGUACAGAAGGAUUCCACACAGGAACCACUCAGCUGAGAGAGUGUGAUUUAUGUAGUUAGAACAUGUCUCCAAGAAACCCAGCCCUAUAGAGAAAAGCAAAAGCACAUUGUUUUGUCUCAUGGGGAAAAAAACAGAAUCAUCUUAACUUUAUCAAAUUUUGAGACUCCUCAGUGACUCAGAGAUUGCUAUCUGAAGGUGUGAAAGGAGGAAUAGGGAGCACCCAGAGUGUACCAACAGACAAAAGGCUAGAUGGAUAGAGCAGAGAUAACUGGGCUCCUGGAAAGUCCCCUUAAACCUAAGGCUCUUCCCUUACACCCAAGUCAGUCAGCUCCAUGCAGGAACCGGAAAAGGGAAGCUGCUGUAGGAGAAGUUCCAGCCUCUGCCUUCCUGCAUGGUUCUCACAGUGAGUUGGGGGUGGGGCACUAUCCAUGUUCAUGAAAUCUCAUUAUAUAAAAGGACUGUUUGUCUCUUGUUUCACACAUUGGUUUCUGGGUCUCAGAAACUGCUAAAGUAUUGAUAUGAAGCAAGAAAAUAAAAUUUUACACAGCAAAA